GAAGAACCCCUUGCAACAUUUCCGGUAAGGUGGGUCUCGUGAUGAACUCCCUCAGCUUCCAUUUGUCUGAGAAAGACUUUCUAUCUCCUUCAUUUUGAAGUAUAACUUUCCCAGGUUGAAAAGGUACAUGCUGCUUGUUUUAUCUGAAAGACACGCUGUGUAAUCUCACCACAUAUAAGACAUCCUAUAACUAAUCAUCAUUCUCUUCCUGAAAAUAUGAGAAUAUAAUCGCCUCCUCCCGGCUCAGGGAAGAAGUUAAACUUUUGAUGAGGAAAAAAAUCAUAAUUUCUACUGCUUUUGAAAUUUUCGGAGUCUCCGUUCCAGACGUAGCAGAACUACGGCGCUGAUAUUCUGAAAACAGAGUACGAGCUGAAACUCUGUGUUCAUCUCUUUCCCGGUUUAGUGAUCAGUGUGACGGGGAGAGAUUAGUAUCAGCGCAAUAAAAUUACCAUAUGU